AGCUAGCCCCGAUUAAAGUGGAAAUCUUUUUAUUUUUUUGCUGCCAAAAAAAUAAAAAAUUGGGAACGAAAAGCGGGAAACCAU
rnacentral:sRNA from 1 species